rnacentral:rRNA from 1 species
UACGUAGGGGGCAAGCGUUAUCCGGAUUUACUGGGUGUAAAGGGGGCGCAGACGGCGAUGCAAGCCAGGAGUGAAAGCCCGGGGCCCAACCCCGGGACUGCUCUUGGAACUGCGUGGCUGGAGUGCAGGAGGGGCAGGCGGAAUUCCUGGUGUAGCGGUGAAAUGCAUAGAUAUCACGCAGAACUCCGAUUGCGAAGGCAGCAUACCGGCGCCCUACUGACGCUGAGGCACGAAAGCGUGGGUAUCGAACAGG